UCCACACACACACUCCUCCUACUUAUUUGAAAGCAUGCGGCGUCUGGUUAGACUAGUUUUAUUUGCAUUAAAACAUGGCAAGAAACAGCUUAUUGUCUGUUUGUUUUCACAUCAUUGUUAUGAUGCAUGACUUUAAUUUGCAGAGAGAGAUUAAUUAAUGAUUGUUCAUAUUGGAGCAGUACGACUAGGCCUCAUCCACGUGGAAAUGUGAGGAUAAGGUGGUAAAAUCGUGUCAAUGCGGUGUUUUCUGAGGUGACUGCACCCACACGUGGGCAGAAGGGUGGUGUACCUUCAUAUGGUUUUAUAGAGGAUGCAGGAAAUGGAAGUUUGGAUGGAUCACUGCAACGAAGUAAGUGUCUUGACUGAGCAGGACAUGGCUGGUAAAGGUUAUGAAUGAUGACUAUGGUUAGACUUCUGUUUUCUUUGUUUGCGAAGAUCAAGAAACGGAAGCACACCUCGUUUGACACCAUGACAUGUAUGUAUUUAUGAACUGGGUGAUUUACAAAUUUUUACUGUAUGAUGUAACAAAUGUCCUUUUAUGAAUAAAGCAUUUAUCAACAGACUCUGUAUCGUUGAUUUCAUUCUUAACAUGUUUUGGUAAACUGAUUUUAAGGCACUAUACUUCAAACCUGAACGGCCUUCUGCUUGGCUGUUCAAAGGUUAAGAGUGGUGCAAGAACAAAUCAUGUCCUGUCAUAACUGGAGUUUCUUGGCAACUUCACCAAGUCUCUCUUUUAAAGCAAGACACAGAAUUUAAACGCAGCUCACAGCAACAACAACUGUGCCAUAAAUUCAUGUAUUGGCUAUUCCGUCUACUAUUGAGUUUGUAGUAGUGUUAAACUGAACUGUGUUAUAGAGAGGUGUUUCUAACAUUUUGGCCACCCCAUUUACUUACAUGAAGAUCAUAAUAUUAGAAGCACCUUUCAAUAUAAUGCACUCCUGUUAAACAUCAUCCACUAAGAUCUCAGGAAUAAACAAAGUAGAAUUAUGACCCCUCCUGAUACUAACAAAACCUGAAACAGGAAGAAAAGUUUAAUUUAAUCACGCUGGAUUGUAACUAAUGAAGCCAAUGUGGGUACUUCAAAGUUUGAAGGCAAAAAUUUUAGAGAUAAGUAUGCAGUGCUGCUGAGAGUUUAGUCCCUGUGUACUCGCAUUGUAUUGCAGCUCUACAUGUGACUAUAGGUUAAUGGUUAUAUAAUGUGUGCAAUUUUUCAUUUUGGCAAUAUUAAACAUGGAGAGAUGCA